rnacentral:antisense_RNA from 1 species
AGUCAUGAUCUCUAUUCCUCUUUAAUAGGGAUUGUGGUUAGCGAUAUGGCCGUGUUGCAGCACGGUCAUAUCGCGCU